rnacentral:tRNA from 1 species
GAGGUUGUGGCUCAGCGGUAGAGUGCUCGCCUCACAUAUGUGAGGCCCUGGGUUCAAUCCUCAGCACCACG